rnacentral:rRNA from 1 species
GUGCACCAGGCGCGAAACCUCCGCAAUGCUCGAAAGAGCGACGGGGGGACUCCAAGUGCCUACGCUCAGCGUAGGCUGUUCCCGAGCCUAAAAAGCUCGGGGAGUAAGGGCUGGGUAAGACGGGUGCCAGCCGCCGCGGUAAUACCCGCAGCCCGAGUGGUGGCCGCUAUUAUUGGGCCUAAAGCGUCCGUAGCCGGCUCGGUAAAUGGCCUGGGUAAAUCGUCUGGCCCAACCAGACGAAUUCCGGGUAGACUGCCGGGCUAGGGACCGGAGGAGGGAGAGGGGUACUCCAGGGGUAGGGGUGAAAUCAGCAAGGUGAGUUGCUGAUGUAACUUGCCUUGCAAGUCACAAUCCUGUAAUCCCUGGAGGACCACCGGGUGGCG